AGCGAACGCUGGCGGCAGGCCUAACACAUGCAAGUCGAACGAAAUCUUCGGACUUAGUGGCGGACGGGUGAGUAACACGUGGGAACGUGCCUUUAGGUUCGGAAUAACUCAGGGAAACUUGUGCUAAUACCGAAUGUGCCCUUCGGGGGAAAGAUUUAUCGCCUUUAGAGCGGCCCGCGUCUGAUUAGCUAGUUGGUGAGGUAAAGGCUCACCAAGGCUACGAUCAGUAGCUGGUCUGAGAGGAUGACCAGCCACAUUGGGACUGAGACACGGCCCAAACUCCUACGGGAGGCAGCAGUGGGGAAUUUUGCGCAAUGGGCGAAAGCCUGACGCAGCCAUGCCGCGUGGAUGAUGAAGGUCUUAGGAUUGUAAAAUCCUUUCACCGGUGAAGAUAAUGACUGUAGCCGGAGAAGAAGCCCCGGCUAACUUCGUGCCAGCCGCCGCGGUAACAC
rnacentral:rRNA from 1 species